rnacentral:rRNA from 1 species
GCUAAGAAUAUUCCGCAAUGGGAGCAAUCCUGACGGAGCGACGCCGCGUGAACGAUGAAGGCCGAAAGGUUGUAAAGUUCUUUUAUACGGGAAGAAUAAGGUGAAUAGUGGAAAGAUUCAUCGAUGACGGUACCGUAUGAAUAAGCCCCGGCUAACUACGUGCCAGCAGCCGCGGUAAUACGUAGGGGGCAAGCGUUGUUCGGAUUUAUUGGGCGUAAAGGGCAUGUAGGCGGUUAUUCAAGUGUGGGUUUAAAGGCGCAGGCUCAACCUGUUGCAUGGUCUGCAAACUGAGUAACUAGAGUUCGAGAAGGGAGACUGGAAUUCCGCGUGUAGGGGUGAAAUCUGUAGAGAUGCGGAAGAAUACCGGCGGCGAAGGCGAGUCUCUGGCUUGAAACUGACGCUGAAAUGCGAAAGUGUGGGGAGCAAACAGGAUUAGAAACCCCGGUAGUCC